AUCAAGCUGACGAGUCCCAAAUAGGACGAAACGAACUUUAAACUGGAU
rnacentral:hammerhead_ribozyme from 1 species